rnacentral:tRNA from 1 species
CCGUCCGUAGCUCAGUGGAUAGAGUAGCCGCCUCCUAGCCGGCUUGGUCGGGGGUUCGAAUCCCUCCGGAUGGACCA